GUGCACUCGUUCUUUCCAACGGUUUCUUUAUCAUGCGAUCGCGCGCGUACGUGGUUUUCGUUCGACGCUUUGCUCGCGCACUUGAUUUCCUCACAAAACGUCUAGAUGUGGAUUAUUUUCUUCCAUGCGUUGUGUUUGUGUCAAACAUCGGUUCCCAUCGUCAACUGUGAAAUCUUAUUUCACGUAUUAUUUGACCCAUUGUUAUUUUACACGGAAAUGGCUGAAAUCUACUCCAGUUUCUCAACGUAUUCCGCUUAUCACAGUUUUGUCACGCAGACAGUCCCUCUGUGAGAAUGUGCCCCUGGUGGAAUUUCACUGAGAUGGAGGGGGAUUCCUCGCGGUCAUUUUUUACUUUGUUAAAAGUCUUUUGUCAUUCAAGACCCCAUCAUGUUGGGAGCCAGCUGUUUCAGUGAAGUAGGGGCCCUUUCAAAUGUAAGUUAUUCAUUAUUAAUGAGAAAAGGCUUGUCUUCAAAUAAAAUGAGGGGAACUUGUUUUGAAAAUAUGUAAAUAUUUUUGAUGUGCUGAGAAACUUUGUAGACUAAUUAUCUAUCUACCUAACUGUCUGUCAAUGCACAUUCUUCUUUGAAAAGAGAUAAUGACUAUGUUCUGUGUAAAAAAAAAAAAAACAUUGUUAUUAUGGUUACUGUUGUCACCUUAUGUAGGCCUAUACUUAAGUGUGUACUAUUAUUUAAAAGGGAAAUGAGCACAAAAAUGCCUAUUUAUGCUUUCAGUCCUGAUUUCCUGCAUAUGUUGUGAUCUUGGACCAGUUAUACAUUGAUAGCCCUGAUAUAGACCACCAUAAUAUAGUGCAAACUGAUCUGAAUGAGCCAUAUGAACCUAUUUGACCUGUAACCCUGAUUCAUUUCGGCUGGCAUCGUACCAUGUGAUGUGGUCUUUGUUUUUAUACGAGGGGGACAUUGCAUCUUUUUCAAAGUCUGCUUUGAGCUCAGCUGUUUUGGGUUCCUUAGGGAUGGGGCCAGAUGCCGCUUUAAGCCCGUUUUAAUUUGGAUAAUUUGAUGCUGGUCUCUGUGAGACUGACGGAUGCGCUGUCAUAAGGGGUGGAGGGAGGCUGCACCAUUGUGACAGUGGCCAUUUAUCUGUCUCUCUGAACAGACAGACUAGUCACUACCGGAGUCUGGUUAUCUUAGGACAGCUGGUGAUGCUGUUUCUCUGAGCUUUCAUUUGAUUUUUUACAAUUUUCAUCUUGGUCUUUUGGUAUGUUUCAGGGCAGAGAGGACAGGAAAUGAUGUGAAGGAUUGGAAAUGUUAUGAACCAGGCUCGAAACUGGAAUCACUGCAUAAGCACCAGGGCACCAGUCUUAUUAAAGUUUUGAAUUUUGAAAAAAUUGAAUUAAUAAAGUAAAUUAAAAACCAUUUAUUAUAUAUUUUAACUUCAUUUUAUUUAUUACUAAUUUGUCUUUUCAGUGUAAUUUGUAGUUUUACAUUUAUUUAUCUAUCUAUCUAUACACCCACACACACACACACACACACACACACACACACACACACACACACACACACACAGUGGUGGCCAAAAUUAUAAGAACUUUCACUUUAAAAUAUUUCUUCAACCUAGUGAAACAUAUGACUGGUCUGCACAAGCUACUUGAGAACAAUAAUAAACAUUCUCUAAUUUUCAACUGAAUUUAUUUCUACUCAUUUAAAAUAAUUCAGGUUUAAUAUAUAUAUAUAUAUAUAUAUAUAUAUAUAUAUAUAUAUAUAUAUAUAUAUAUAUAUAUAUAUAUAUUUAUUUAUUUAUUUAUUUAUUAUUUUUUGUUAAACUGUGUAUAAUAAUUAUUUCUUAUUUUAUAUUAAUAAUAGAACAAAAGUCAAGGCCUGGUCAGGUAAAUAAUGUUUCUGCGGGCUUUUUUUCAUGUCCCCGAAUAGGCCUAAUGAAGCGACACCAAUAAUUUGCGAUUUUUAAUGGGGAGCUUCCCAACCUAUACCCACCACCAAAAACCUGAUUUUGGGCUAGGUUUGAGCAGCAAUUGGGCGGGUUUUGUUCUGUAAACCUGGCAACCCUGUGGCCUGUGCAAUCACUCUUUCCAAUGGUUUCUUUAUCUUGUGAUCCGCGUAUACGUGGUUUUCGCACUUGAUU
rnacentral:lncRNA from 1 species